GUUGCUUGAUUCUAUUAACUCCCCAUUUAUAAACUCUCAUACAGUAGGUGCAUUGAAGAUUAUUGGUAUAAUUUCUACUAACUUGAAUUAGGUAUGUCCAUCCUGGGUUCGUUCUUCUACUACCAGUAGAAGAUCUAGUUGUAUUACCCUUAUCACCCAUCUAUGAUCUAGCAAAAAAAUUAAAAGGCAACAAAAAUUAAUAAGCAACAAAACAAUACAAAUGGAUAAGGGGAGCAUGAAUUAACAACUAAUUAACAAUAAUAAAAAGAAAAAGUAACAAGAAAUUAACAAGAAUAAAAAGUAAAAAUAUACAAAUUAACAAUAUCAUAUAAAUUAAACAACUAAAUGACAACUAAUUAAUAAGAAUAAAAAGUAAAAGUAAUAAGAAAUUAACAAAUUAACAAUGCCCAUAUAAUUUAAACAACUAAUUACCAACUAAUUAACAAAUUAGCAACAAAAUAUUAAGAAUUAAAAAGAAAAAAAAAGUAAACAAAUUAACAAUUAAAAUAAAAAAAUAAAAUAAAUAAAACAAUAUGACCA
rnacentral:misc_RNA from 1 species